CUCGCAGUCGGAAAUGAUUGCUUUAUCCCGCAUAGGAUGUAUCGAAUUAAACUAGGCCAAAAAAAAAAUAUGUGGGUUUCCGGUUUCCCGACCCUACCUAGCUUUUGGACGUCGAAAUCCCGAGCCUAAACUUUUUUAUUGGAUCAUGCUUGUAAGUGUUUCCACUUAGAGGAAAAAGUUUGUGGAAAAUUGAAAUUUGAGGCAAUAUUGGGGAAAUUUAUCUUUGGAUGUGGAAGCACUGACUAAACAAAAUGGCGUCCGCUUAUUCGGAAAAUUAAAAAAAAAGUUAAAAAAAAAGUUAAAACCGACCUACCCUACCUAAGUUCGUAUAAGAAGAAACCGGAAACCCACAU